AUAUAGUUGACACUAGUUUUUGCCGAUAUGAAAUAUUUUUUAAGAAAUUCUAAAUUCAUUCAUUUUUUUUUUCUAGCUUUAUCAAGAGCAACAAAUACCCAGCUAUAAACAAAUAGUUGCUUAAUUAAACGUGUGUUUUUUGAAAAUUUCCUCUGCAUACAGUAAUAUUGUUCAUGCGCCUCAUUACCUCUGCAUCCACUAAAUCACCCUGGCCGGAUGGUGAAGAUCGCAAUGUUGAAGCUGCUGGGACUUUUUAGAAAAAGUUUGAUUCAGUCCUCAUAUUUUCUUAAGCAGCAAUUCAGUCUAUUCAUAACUAUAUAAUUCAUGGCAAUUAUUGAUUGGGAUCAACUGACCAAUAUUUUAACAAUUUUUGAUGUAAAUAGACCAAAUUUAAAACACUAGGAAUAAGACAAACAUUCGUCACAAGAUCAAGGGUUGAAAGUGUGAUUUUGACAAAAAAAAAUGGAAUAAAAGAGUGCAAGACAAUAAUUUCCAUAGCUCUCGUACCCGAACGGAGAUCAUAGUGAUGGUUCAUCGCACAACAGAAGAGAAAGAGAUUACACGGCUAGCACACUGUUCCAAAGACUGACCACAAAACAUAAACUAGAAGUCUAACGGGACCAAAGAAAAGCUCCCAUGGCAUACUUUCUUUUCUGUUCAACAUCCCCAGUGAUGGGCAACCCAUACUCUCUGAGCAGGCAAUCAAGUUUCCAUUCUGGCAUGGUCUCAUAUUCGGCUCGGGUGUGUCUUGGGUAGUGCAGUGGCAUCUGAAAGCUCCCACACCGCUCCUUUGUGUGCUGCCCAUUUGGUCCAUCGCCGAUGUUCGAAGUUGGCCUCGCCACUGACUCCAUUCCACCUCCACUUAUAUUUUGCCCAACAACUUCUAUGCGCUAGAGUUACUUGGCCAAAUAUGCAAGUUAGUUGUAGAAUGGUGGUGGCUUUUAUAGAGGUUUUAAUGAGAGACUGUGGAAUGCGAGGGACCCAGACGACAUCGUCGAGGUAGGGUAACGUUGCAAUAUUUAUCGGUGAGAAAACAAUGAUAAUUGCUUUGUGACUUCCGAGCUGCGGCUUAUUUAAAUUUCAGGAAAAAUAGAUUUAUGGAGAAUCCCCAAG
rnacentral:lncRNA from 1 species